rnacentral:rRNA from 1 species
GAUGAACGCUGGCGGCGUGCCUAAUACAUGCAAGUCGAGUGAACAGAUGAGGAGCUUGCUCCUCUGACGUUAGCGGCGGACGGGUGAGUAACACGUGGAUAACCUACCUAUAAGACUGGGAUAACUUCGGGAAACCGGAGCUAAUACCGGAUAAUAUAUUGAACCGCAUGGUUCAAUAGUGAAAGACGGUUUUGCUGUCACUUAUAGAUGGAUCCGCGCCGCAUUAGCUAGUUGGUAAGGUAACGGCUUACCAAGGCAACGAUGCGUAGCCGACCUGAGAGGGUGAUCGGCCACACUGGAACUGAGACACGGUCCAGACUCCUACGGGAGGCAGCAGUAGGGAAUCUUCCGCAAUGGGCGCAAGCCUGACGGAGCAACGCCGCGUGAGUGAUGAAGGUCUUCGGAUCGUAAAACUCUGUUAUUAGGGAAGAACAAAUGUGUAAGUAACUAUGCACGUCUUGACGGUACCUAAUCAGAAAGCCACGGCUAACUACGUG